GGUUAAGCGACUAAGCGUACACGGUGGAUGCCCUGGCAGUCAGAGGCGAUGAAGGACGUGCUAAUCUGCGAUAAGCGUCGGUGAGGUGAUAUGAACCGUUAUAACCGGCGAUUUCCGAAUGGGGAAACCCAGUGUGUUUCGACACACUAUCAUUAACUGAAUCCAUAGGUUAAUGAGGCGAACCGGGGGAACUGAAACAUCUAAGUACCCCGAGGAAAAGAAAUCAACCGAGAUUCCCCCAGUAGCGGCGAGCGAACGGGGAGGAGCCCAGAGCCUGAAUCAGUGUGUGUGUUAGUGGAAGCGUCUGGAAAGGCGCGCGAUACAGGGUGACAGCCCCGUACACAAAAAUGCACAUACUGUGAGCUCGAUGAGUAGGGCGGGACACGUGGUAUCCUGUCUGAAUAUGGGGGGACCAUCCUCCAAGGCUAAAUACUCCUGACUGACCGAUAGUGAACCAGUACCGUGAGGGAAAGGCGAAAAGAACCCCGGCGAGGGGAGUGAAAAAGAACCUGAAACCGUGUACGUACAAGCAGUGGGAGCCUCUUAAUGGGGUGACUGCGUACCUUUUGUAUAAUGGGUCAGCGACUUAUAUUCUGUAGCAAGGUUAACCGAAUAGGGGAGCCGAAGGGAAACCGAGUCUUAACUGGGCGUUAAGUUGCAGGGUAUAGACCCGAAACCCGGUGAUCUAGCCAUGGGCAGGUUGAAGGUUGGGUAACACUAACUGGAGGACCGAACCGACUAAUGUUGAAAAAUUAGCGGAUGACUUGUGGCUGGGGGUGAAAGGCCAAUCAAACCGGGAGAUAGCUGGUUCUCCCCGAAAGCUAUUUAGGUAGCGCCUCGUGAAUUCAUCUCCGGGGGUAGAGCACUGUUUCGGCAAGGGGGUCAUCCCGACUUACCAACCCGAUGCAAACUGCGAAUACCGGAGAAUGUUAUCACGGGAGACACACGGCGGGUGCUAACGUCCGUCGUGAAGAGGGAAACAACCCAGACCGCCAGCUAAGGUCCCAAAGUCAUGGUUAAGUGGGAAACGAUGUGGGAAGGCCCAGACAGCCAGGAUGUUGGCUUAGAAGCAGCCAUCAUUUAAAGAAAGCGUAAUAGCUCACUGGUCGAGUCGGCCUGCGCGGAAGAUGUAACGGGGCUAAACCAUGCACCGAAGCUGCGGCAGCGACACUAUGUGUUGUUGGGUAGGGGAGCGUUCUGUAAGCCUGCGAAGGUGUACUGUGAGGUAUGCUGGAGGUAUCAGAAGUGCGAAUGCUGACAUAAGUAACGAUAAAGCGGGUGAAAAGCCCGCUCGCCGGAAGACCAAGGGUUCCUGUCCAACGUUAAUCGGGGCAGGGUGAGUCGACCCCUAAGGCGAGGCCGAAAGGCGUAGUCGAUGGGAAACAGGUUAAUAUUCCUGUACUUGGUGUUACUGCGAAGGGGGGACGGAGAAGGCUAUGUUGGCCGGGCGACGGUUGUCCCGGUUUAAGCGUGUAGGCUGAUUUUCCAGGCAAAUCCGGAAAAUCAAGGCUGAGGCGUGAUGACGAGGCACUACGGUGCUGAAGCAACAAAUGCCCUGCUUCCAGGAAAAGCCUCUAAGCAUCAGGUAACAUCAAAUCGUACCCCAAACCGACACAGGUGGUCAGGUAGAGAAUACCAAGGCGCUUGAGAGAACUCGGGUGAAGGAACUAGGCAAAAUGGUGCCGUAACUUCGGGAGAAGGCACGCUGAUAUGUAGGUGAAGUCCCUCGCGGAUGGAGCUGAAAUCAGUCGAAGAUACCAGCUGGCUGCAACUGUUUAUUAAAAACACAGCACUGUGCAAACACGAAAGUGGACGUAUACGGUGUGACGCCUGCCCGGUGCCGGAAGGUUAAUUGAUGGGGUCAGCGCAAGCGAAGCUCUUGAUCGAAGCCCCGGUAAACGGCGGCCGUAACUAUAACGGUCCUAAGGUAGCGAAAUUCCUUGUCGGGUAAGUUCCGACCUGCACGAAUGGCGUAAUGAUGGCCAGGCUGUCUCCACCCGAGACUCAGUGAAAUUGAACUCGCUGUGAAGAUGCAGUGUACCCGCGGCAAGACGGAAAGACCCCGUGAACCUUUACUAUAGCUUGACACUGAACAUUGAGCCUUGAUGUGUAGGAUAGGUGGGAGGCUUUGAAGUGUGGACGCCAGUCUGCAUGGAGCCGACCUUGAAAUACCACCCUUUAAUGUUUGAUGUUCUAACGUUGACCCGUAAUCCGGGUUGCGGACAGUGUCUGGUGGGUAGUUUGACUGGGGCGGUCUCCUCCUAAAGAGUAACGGAGGAGCACGAAGGUUGGCUAAUCCUGGUCGGACAUCAGGAGGUUAGUGCAAUGGCAUAAGCCAGCUUGACUGCGAGCGUGACGGCGCGAGCAGGUGCGAAAGCAGGUCAUAGUGAUCCGGUGGUUCUGAAUGGAAGGGCCAUCGCUCAACGGAUAAAAGGUACUCCGGGGAUAACAGGCUGAUACCGCCCAAGAGUUCAUAUCGACGGCGGUGUUUGGCACCUCGAUGUCGGCUCAUCACAUCCUGGGGCUGAAGUAGGUCCCAAGGGUAUGGCUGUUCGCCAUUUAAAGUGGUACGCGAGCUGGGUUUAGAACGUCGUGAGACAGUUCGGUCCCUAUCUGCCGUGGGCGCUGGAGAACUGAGGGGGGCUGCUCCUAGUACGAGAGGACCGGAGUGGACGCAUCACUGGUGUUCGGGUUGUCAUGCCAAUGGCACUGCCCGGUAGCUAAAUGCGGAAGAGAUAAGUGCUGAAAGCAUCUAAGCACGAAACUUGCCCCGAGAUGAGUUCUCCCUGACUCCUUGAGAGUCCUGAAGGAACGUUGAAGACGACGACGUUGAUAGGCCGGGUGUGUAAGCGCAGCGAUGCGUUGAGCUAACCGGUACUAAUGAACCGUGAGGCUUAACCUUAC
rnacentral:rRNA from 1 species